UAUUUGGGUACAAUGUCACACAUAUCCUCAAUUCUAACCUAACCACACUUUCUCUUAUCUAACUAUAGUUAACCCACCACAUCAUGUGUUUCAGUGUUGAACAAUUAAAAAAGAAAAGAAAAUAUGUUCUCUCACCAAGCUCACUUCCGAAAAUAGAUAUGUGUAUCUCAAUUCACAAAUCUUAACUUUUCUUCAAUCAGUUCUUCUCCAUUUCCUCUCCCUGUUCGACAAUAGAUUUGUCUCACCCAGCUCGACGCUUGACUUCUAUUCGUCACAUGUCUUUUCUCACACUCACACCUUACACGAACCAUAAGGAAACCGAAGAACAGGAAGAAAGUACAUCUUAACGGACAACCGUCUACUACAGCGACUUUUCACGACGGACAGAUUUCCCAUCAAGCGUCUCAUCCGUCAGUCCUGUUUGUCGCAUUCAUAUCUUUUGUGUCCGAAUUUGUCGCAUCCACAUAUUUUGUGUCCACGCUUCUUCAAUCCACAUAUUCUAUUUUCUAAAGAAAACUCAGAAUAGUGGUUUAACUCUAGUCACCUACAUUUUUGUAUGAUUGUGAACUUUGUGAAAAAGUUGUAAAAACAAUUUUGAUUGUGUGUUCA